GACGAACGCUGGCGGCGUGCUUAACACAUGCAAGUCGAACGGAAAGGCCCUGCUUUUGUGGGGUGCUCGAGUGGCGAACGGGUGAGUAACACGUGAGUAACCUGCCCUUGACUUUGGGAUAACUUCAGGAAACUGGGGCUAAUACCGGAUAGGAGCUCCUGCUGCAUGGUGGGGGUUGGAAAGUUUCGGCGGUUGGGGAUGGACUCGCGGGUUAUCAGCUUGUUGGUGGGGUAGUGGCUUACCAAGGCUUUGACGGGUAGCCGGCCUGAGAGGGUGACCGGCAACAUGGGGACUGGGAUAGGGCCCAGACCCCUACGGGAGGCAGCAGUGGGGAAUAUGGCACAAUGGGCGGAGGCCUGAGGCAGAAACGCCGCGGGCGGGAGGACGGCCUUCGGGUGGUAAACCGCUUUCGCCUGUGACGAGGCGGGAGGGACGGAAAGGGGGAAAGAAGAACCGCCUAACUAGGU
rnacentral:rRNA from 1 species